rnacentral:rRNA from 1 species
UACGGAGGGUGCGAGCGUUGUCCGGAAUCACUGGGCGUAAAGGGCGCGUAGGUGGCGCGGGAAGUCAACGGUGAAAGUUCAGGGCUCAACCCUGAAUCGGCCGUCGAUACUCCCGGGCUUGAGCACUGUAGGGGCAGGUGGAAUUCCGGGUGUAGCGGUGGAAUGCGUAGAGAUCCGGAAGAACACCGGUGGCGAAGGCGGCCUGCUGGGCAGUAGCUGACGCUGAUGCGCGACAGCGUGGGGAGCAAACAGG